CGUUUCUAACUGCAGGCAAUACGCCCCUCCUCGCCCAACAAUGGUUCCCAACUGCAUUACGCAUACGGUCGGGGGGCCAGAGGAACAAUCCACACAGACGUCAUAUUAUUACAUACCUCCCAACUGUCCCGAUUUCAGCGGGACAGUCCCACUAUUCGGACACUGUCCCGCUGUCCCUCCCGCGGGUCGCAGUGUCCCGCGGGCGGGGGAGCAGUUGGUGGAGGCUUUGAUCACCCGCUGCUCUGCAAAGUAGCCGGUGAUCACUGAAUAGAUGCCGUGCGCAGGUGCACGGUAUCUAUUCAAUGCUGGGAGGGGAGCAGGGGGCUGCCCAGCUGCUCUGGGAGAGCUGGCCACGCCCCCAAAAUGCCGAAAAUGGGUCCGAGGCGCUCGCCCACGCCCCCUUUUUGGGUCGCGCGCGGCUUUGCUGCGCAGGGGUCCCUCUUCCUCCCCCUUCAAAGUUGGAAGUGCAAAGUAUAAAGUGGUCCAAUCCUCACCAGAAAAAGCCCAAACCUUCUCGCGGGGAGGGGAAGAAAUGUUUUCUGUUAUUUCCCAGCUAAUGAAGGACCUCUCUGCACUGUGCAAGUCAGUGGGGGCCUGUGCUGAAAAGCCAGAAGCUGUGACUGGUGGGCCAUUGCUAAUCAUUAAAGAUCCAUGAUAACAAGUCAGGAGAACAGGAAGAAAAGUGACACAAACAGAUUGCAUGGAAGGUCGGACAACCCCUGUACAAUGACGGCUAAUGAAUACAGCACUCAUCAGAUGUAAAUUCCACCGUCACUUAAAUCUCAAACAGAAAAGGACGAAGAAACAGCAAUCAAGCCGUUUCCGCAUAAGGCAGGUGACAGGGGUCUGCAGACAGUAUUCAGCUCUAUCCAGGCACCUGUACUAGGCCAUAAUUAUCAUCAAGGCUGAUCUAUCCUCUCACCGUACAUUCUGCCUUCCCAGAGCCGCUGACAGACCAGAGCAGGACACUGGAGCCCAUCUGCCACUGCACUGAAGAGAAGGGACAAUAGGACUUUGUCACAUGGAAGAAGAUGACGCUGUGAGGGUGCUUGUUUGUAUGCGGAUAGAUAACUCACUUUACAAUAAGGGGUUUGGAAUUUUAUUCUUCCCAGGAACAUUUAUCCAUAAAUAAAUAUAUACAUUUCU